rnacentral:rRNA from 3 species
UUUUUGUUUGGAGAGUUUGAUCCUGGCUCAGGACGAACGCUGGCGGCGUGCUUAACACAUGCAAGUCGAACGGAAAGGUCUCUUCGGAGACACUCGAGUGGCGAACGGGUGAGUAACACGUGGGCAAUCUGCCCUGCACACCGGGAUAAGCCUGGGAAACUGGGUCUAAUACCGGAUAGGACCACUUGGCGCAUGCCUUGUGGUGGAAAGCUUUUGCGGUGUGGGAUGGGCCCGCGGCCUAUCAGCUUGUUGGUGGGGUGACGGCCUACCAAGGCGACGACGGGUAGCCGGCCUGAGAGGGUGUCCGGCCACACUGGGACUGAGAUACGGCCCAGACUCCUACGGGAGGCAGCAGUGGGGAAUAUUGCACAAUGGGCGCAAGCCUGAUGCAGCGACGCCGCGUGGGGGAUGACGGCCUUCGGGUUGUAAACCUCUUUCACCAUCGACGAAGGUCCGGGUUCUCUCGGAUUGACGGUAGGUGGAGAAGAAGCACCGGCCAACUACGUGCCAGCAGCCGCGGUAAUACGUAGGGUGCGAGCGUUGUCCGGAAUUACUGGGCGUAAAGAGCUCGUAGGUGGUUUGUCGCGUUGUUCGUGAAAUCUCACGGCUUAACUGUGAGCGUGCGGGCGAUACGGGCAGACUAGAGUACUGCAGGGGAGACUGGAAUUCCUGGUGUAGCGGUGGAAUGCGCAGAUAUCAGGAGGAACACCGGUGGCGAAGGCGGGUCUCUGGGCAGUAACUGACGCUGAGGAGCGAAAGCGUGGGGAGCGAACAGGAUUAGAUACCCUGGUAGUCCACGCCGUAAACGGUGGGUACUAGGUGUGGGUUUCCUUCCUUGGGAUCCGUGCCGUAGCUAACGCAUUAAGUACCCCGCCUGGGGAGUACGGCCGCAAGGCUAAAACUCAAAGGAAUUGACGGGGGCCCGCACAAGCGGCGGAGCAUGUGGAUUAAUUCGAUGCAACGCGAAGAACCUUACCUGGGUUUGACAUGCACAGGACGCGUCUAGAGAUAGGCGUUCCCUUGUGGCCUGUGUGCAGGUGGUGCAUGGCUGUCGUCAGCUCGUGUCGUGAGAUGUUGGGUUAAGUCCCGCAACGAGCGCAACCCUUGUCUCAUGUUGCCAGCGGGUAAUGCCGGGGACUCGUGAGAGACUGCCGGGGUCAACUCGGAGGAAGGUGGGGAUGACGUCAAGUCAUCAUGCCCCUUAUGUCCAGGGCUUCACACAUGCUACAAUGGCCGGUACAAAGGGCUGCGAUGCCGCGAGGUUAAGCGAAUCCUUUUAAAGCCGGUCUCAGUUCGGAUCGGGGUCUGCAACUCGACCCCGUGAAGUCGGAGUCGCUAGUAAUCGCAGAUCAGCAACGCUGCGGUGAAUACGUUCCCGGGCCUUGUACACACCGCCCGUCACGUCAUGAAAGUCGGUAACACCCGAAGCCAGUGGCCUAACCCUCGGGAGGGAGCUGUCGAAGGUGGGAUCGGCGAUUGGGACGAAGUCGUAACAAGGUAGCCGUACCGGAAGGUGCGGCUGGAUCACCUCCUUUCUAAGGAG